ensembl:lncRNA
GCUAUCUCAACCUAUGUGCAUCGUCAUCUAUCUGCACAGAUGCAUUGUGGAUCAGGAAGGCCGUCCUUUUUUUACAUUACGUGUCAUUUAGGCGAAGCUUUUAUCCAAAGCGACUUACAUUGGAUUUUUAACCCAUGGCUUUUACAUUUUUGCCCAGGGAGCAAUUAGGGGUUAGGUGUCUUGCUCAGGGACACUUCAACAUGGAGCAGCUGGGGCUCGAACCGCCAACCUUGCUGUUCCCGGCGCACCCACUCUACUUCAUGCGCCACCGUCGACAGUGGUGAUCGUUCAACCCUCCAUCAGAUGAAGCAUGUUUCACUGUGCGCUGUGCCCAAUACUCAGGGCUCCCUUCAGCAGAUGUGGUGAGUGAGCGACAAUUUGUUGUUGUUGAUAAAAGGUUGUUGAAAAGCCAAUGGGGAUACUGGAGGCAGCGAAGGGUGAGGGAUGCCUUUAAUUUCACCAACCGGGGCUUAAUUAAAAUGCAUUUUAAAUAUUGAUGAGGCUGGUUGUCCCUACUGUAAGGCAGCGCCGGGAAACUGGAGCACGGGAGAUGAAACUUAACAAGGAGCAAACACACACUCUGACAGCUUUCAACCGAUUGGCUUAUUCAUUAAUUAAAACAAGACGGGUGGCCGCAAAGAGGGAAUAAUAGUGGUUAGACCAUCAGAUAGAUUUCACUGAUGUGAAUUAGCUAAAGCACUCACAGAUUGGUACUAUAUAUUUUUAUUUAUCUUCAACAUAUAAUUCGAAAGGAUCCCAAUGGCAAUGUGUUGAAAUGAUUUAAUCCGUCCUUUCUAUCAGACAUGUUUCUACUGAAGAUCAACAUCUUUAAAAAUGCUAUACAGUACUUUUAGUUACAUUCCCAGGCUUCACCCAAACAGAUGUCAAUUUUGUGUUUCAUGGGGAGUAUUUACAGUGGUGGAUUAACAUUAAUUAAUGCCCCAGCAGCAAUAAAAGAAAUGCUACGACGGAAAAAAAUUACAAUAAUCUGGCAUCUACUGCGGUCACAAGACUGUAGUAAGUAUGUGCAAUGAUUGACUUUUACAGGAUCCUUUAGUAACUCCAGCUUUGGGGAAAGCAAAGGAAACCACACAGAUCCCCAGCUGUUAGCCAUUGUCGUCGCGGUGCAGCGUGAAGGAAGUGAAAGCAUUGAGGCUGGAGGCAUUGAAAACUUCCAGACCACUCAAUGUCACAACUGCUGUAGAGGAAAAGCUGUGCUCUAAUGUGCCCGGACAUGUGGAACAAGGUUAAAGAGGGGAGGAUGACAUAUACAUAUGUAUACAGAGAAUGAGCCAAGUGAAGGGUGUAACGCAACAGAGUAACAUACAAAUCAAAUUGGAGGUUUGUUUUGCUGUUAAAUCACUAUUAAGAUUGAAUUGCCGUAAAAACAGUUGAAACUUAAAACAGAUGCAGUCAAAGACGAGGAGAGAAAAACGAGCAGAGGCAAUAACAAGAAAGAAAAAAAAGCAUUUGACAAGUGAAAGGAAGAGCAAGAACAGAGAAGGAGGGGAACACAAGGAGGAACAGUUAGAAGAGGAGAGGAUAAAAAUCUAAAAGACUAAAGAAUUACCAGUGAGAGAAGACAGGAAAUGCCAGAUACUAAAACUUUGCGGAUUCUGUUUUUAAGAGAUCUUUCUUCCUCUUUAUGUGAAGGGGAAGAAUACUCAAGUUUCCAACACAGUGCACUGUGACAUAUUUAAGUGUCUGUCCAAAGUGGAAAUUCUCUUUUACCUUGUGGUCAGUCAGGUUGCAGCACUGCAGAAGCACAGAGCAGUCAAAGAAACACAUCUUCCAUCUGUAACCUUCGGCUUGUCCGUCUAACCUCCAAGAACAUGGAGCACAAAGCCAGCCUAUAUUGAAUAUUUGUAUAGUGUUUAUAGAUUAUAAAUUUUAAAUAAUUUAAAAUUUGGGGGAACUCAAAUUUUACCCUGCACUGUCAAUAUUACCAAAACCUGGUGCCAUUAACUAUCGAGACACAACCACAUAUUCUUCUUCUUGAUUCAUUUCACACCCUGAAAAUAAAUACAUUGUUGCAUCACCACCAAGGCAACCAGACAGAUAAUUUAGAGAUAUGUUUCACUCCCCCUUGAGUUCAGGUGCAAUGAAUAAUUUGUCUUACCGAUCGCACCAGAUGUGUCCCUCAAGCUAAUCAUUUCCUUUAGCAGCAAGUUUGUUUGCAACCCAAGCAAGCAAAUGGAAACUUCAUGGAAAUGUAAUUCAUCAUCAUUGGAAUAGCUACGAUUGAAGCCUGGUUACUAUCAGAACCCCCUCGUAGGGUCUUAGUUUGUUAUUUGGAGAUAGAAAAGAAGUCAUUAUUUAAAUCACUAUUAUAUAUUCAGAUGUCUGAGGCAAAGUGCGAGGCCGAGUUGUGAUUAUGGAUGAAAUGCACAUAAAGCAAAGAAGACAACAACAAAGAAGGGAGGACUAAGAGAGGUUGAAAAACUGGAAAUAACCGGACCCAGCCCGGAGCGUGCAAAUCAAAGUAGAGGAGAAACACAAGGGACUAAAAUAAAAUGGCAAACAUUUGGAUGGUGGCGACAGUGAUAGAAACAGUCCAGGGAGGAAUGACAGAGAUAGAGUGUGUGUUAAAAUUGUUUGUUUGUUUUUAAUUGUUGACUUUGCACCAUUUUUUUUUCUUUCAUGAUUUCCAAAGAACAAAACUUUGUAAGGAGGUCAGGAUAAAAAAAAAGAAGUGGGAACACUUUAAAGGUGAAGGCUCUGGCCUUGACUAAUCGUCCAUACGGCUUGUUGGCAGCCAAACCACAGGGAGCUGCUGGGUUUGUGUGUAUCUGUGUGACUGAGGGAGGCAGGGGGAUGAAUAUGCAUUGUUUUCUGUCAAACGUCAGGCCACCAGCAGGUUGCCAGCUUGGCCCAUUAUGGCCAGGGAAGAGGGCUAACACGGAUCAUGCACAGCUACCCACACAGAGGCAGAUGUAGACACACACAGACACACACACACACAAACAAAAUAACAACCGGCUUAUGUGACUGGGUGUGUACAUAACUCACAUACAGUAUCCUACAAGAAAUGUUUGUUUCAUGUUUUUCAUCUUCUUAACCUCUUCCUCUGUCCUUGCCCAUCCUUAUUCUUCACUUCUGCUUUUACGUAUGUAAAAAGUAAAAAUAAGAUCUAUAUCCCACUUAGAGGUGGGUAAACGUUAUUUAGGAGGUGCGUAAACGGCGUUUAUGUGCGUUUACCCUCCACUACAGCCCUGUUGACAAUCCUAUAAGUCCUAUAAAUCCUAUAAGAUGUGUGCACUGCAAAAAAAGGGUGUCUCAAAACAAGAUAAAAAAACUAAAUUUGAGGUAAAAUGUACUCAAAACAAGUGAAAUUAUCUGUCCAUGCAGCUAGAUAAUUUCACUUGACAAGAUUUCUUGAAUUAAGAUAAUUAAAUCUAGAAAUAAGCUUGUCUAAAGAGGUAUUUGGAAGGCUUAACAUAAGAUGAAAAUGCUGGGUUUAAGAUCAGAUUACUUAAAUUUAAACUUUUUAAAGCCUCAAAAUAAGUGAAUUAUAC